AGCAGCCGCGGUAAUUCCAGCUCCAAUAGCGUAUAUUAAAGUUGUUGCAGUUAAAAAGCUCGUAGUUGAAUUUCGGGGUCAAUAAGUUGGUCGUGCCAAUGGUAUGUACUGGCUUUAUUGAUUCCUACCUCUUGACGAACUGUGAUGCCAUUAAUUUGGUGUUGCAGGAAAUCAGGACUGUUACCUUGAAAAAAUUAGAGUGUUUAAAGCAGGCUUACGCUUGAAUACAUUAGCAUGGAAUAAUGAAAUAGGACGUUUGAACCUAUUUUGUUGGUUUCUAGGAUCGACGUAAUGAUUAAUAGGGAUAGUUGGGGGCAUUAGUAUUCAAUUGUCAGAGGUGAAAUUCUUGGAUUUAUUGAAGACUAACUACUGCGAAAGCAUUUGCCAAGGAUGUUUUCAUUAAUCAAGAACGAAAGUUAGGGGAUCGAAGACGAUCAGAUACCGUCGUAGUCUUAACCAUAAACUAUACCGACUAGGGAUCGGAUGAUGUUAAUUUUUAAUGACUCAUUCGGCGCCUUAC
rnacentral:rRNA from 1 species